GACGAACGCUGGCGGCGUGCUUAACACAUGCAAGUCGAACGGAAAGGCCCUGCUUUUGUGGGGUGCUCGAGUGGCGAACGGGUGAGUAACACGUGAGUAACCUGCCCUUGACUUUGGGAUAACUUCAGGAAACUGGGGCUAAUACCGGAUAGGAGCUCCUGCUGCAUGGUGGGGGUUGGAAAGUUUCGGCGGUUGGGGAUGGACUCGCGGCUUAUCAGCUUGUUGGUGGGGUAGUGGCUUACCAAGGCUUUGACGGGUAGCCGGCCUGAGAGGGUGACCGGCCACAUUGGGACUGAGAUACGGCCCAGACUCCUACGGGAGGCAGCAGUGGGGAAUAUUGCACAAUGGGCGGAGGCCUGAUGCAGCAACGCCGCGUGCGGGAUGACGGCCUUCGGGUUGUAAACCGCUUUCGCCUGUGACGAAGUGUGAGUGACGGUAAUGGGUAAAGAAGCACCGGCUAACUACGUG
rnacentral:rRNA from 1 species